ACAAGACAGAGCUGCUCUUCCUCCCGGGGAAGACCUGCCCGCUCCAAGACCUCUCCAUCACAGACGCCAACUCCACUGUGUCGACGUGACCCUGUGCAACACCCCGUUGUUCUCUGCCAGCAUCAAAGCAGUGACCCGCUCCUGCAGGUUCAUGCUCUCUACAACAUCCGUGGAGUACGACUCUACCUCACACAGGAAGCGGCGCAGGUCCUAAUCCAGGCAGUUGUCAUCUCCCGUCUGGACCACUGCAACUCUCUGUUGGCUGGGCUCCCUGCUUGUGUCAUCAAACCCCUGGAACUGAUCCAGAACACAGCAGCCCGCCUGGUUUUCAACCUCAUGUCACAUACGGACUACGUUCAGGACAUAUUUUUUAUUUCUAUGCCUGAGAUAUGUGGUUGUCCCACCUGGAUAUUUUAAGAUUAAUGCUGUCAGUCUCUCUGGAUAAGAGCGUCUGCUAAAUGACUCAAAUGUAAAGGUCACUUGUUCAAGGGGGCAGCAGGGUAGCCUAGUGGUUAGAGUGUAGAGGUGGCAGGGUAGCCUAGUGGUUAGAGUGUAGAGGUGGCAGGGUAGCCUAGUGGUUAGAGCGUAGAGGCGGCAGGGUAGCCUAGUGGUUAGAGUGUAGAGGUGGCAGGGUAGCCUAGUGGUUAGAGUGUAGAGGCGGCAGGGUAGCCUAGUGGUUAGAGUGUAGAGGAGGCAGGGUAGCCUAGUGGUUAGAGUGUAGAGGGGGCAGGGUAGCCUAGUGGUUAGAGUGUAGAGGCGGCAGGGUAGCCUAGUGGUUAG
ensembl:lncRNA